UACGAGGGGUGCAAGCGUUACUCGGAAUUACUGGGCGUAAAGCGUGCGUAGGUGGUGAGUUAAGUCUGUCGUGAAAGCCCCGGGCUCAACCUGGGAAUGGCGAUGGAUACUGGCUCGCUAGAGUGCGGUAGAGGAGAGUGGAAUUCCCGGUGUAGCAGUGAAAUGCGUAGAGAUCGGGAGGAACAUCAGUUGCGAAGGCGGCUCUCUGGACCAGCACUGACACUGAGGCACGAAAGCGUGGGGAGCAAACAGG
rnacentral:rRNA from 1 species